rnacentral:rRNA from 1 species
CCUGGUUGAUUCUGCCCUAGUCAUAUGCUUGUCUCAAAGAUUAAGCCAUGCAUGUCUAAGUAUAAGCAACUUUGUACUGUGAAACUGCGAAUGGCUCAUUAAAUCAGUUAUAGUUUAUUUGAUGGUUUUUGCUACAUGGAUAACUGUGGUAAUUCUAGAGCUAAUACAUGCAUUCAAGCCCCGACUUCUGGAAGGGGUGUAUUUAUUAGAUAAAAAUCAACUUUGUUGGUGAAUCAUAAUAACUUCUCGGACCGCAUGGCCUCGUGCUGGCGGUGCUUCAUUCAAAUAUCUGCCCUAUCAACUGUCGAUGGUAGGAUAGAGGCCUACCAUGGUUGCAACGGGUAACGGGGAAUAAGGGUUCGAUUCCGGAGAGGGAGCCUGAGAAACGGCUACCACAUCCAAGGAAGGCAGCAGGCGCGCAAAUUACCCAAUCCCAACACGGGGAGGUAGUGACAAUAUGUAACAAUAUACGGCCUUAUACGUCGUAUAAUUGGAAUGAGUACAAUUUAAAUCCCUUAACGAGGAACAAUUGGAGGGCAAGUCUGGUGCCAGCAGCCGCGGUAAUUCCAGCUCCAAUAGCGUAUAUUAAAGUUGUUGCAGUUAAAAAGCUCGUAGUUGGACCUUGGACCUGGACAGGCGGUCCGCCUCACGGCGAGUACUGUCUUGCUGGGUCUUUCCUCUUGGUGAUCUGUUGUUUCGGCAGCAGGGAACCAGGACCUUUACUUUGAAAAAAUUAGAGUGUUCAAAGCAGGCUCGACGCCGGAAUAUAUUAGCAUGGAAUAAUAAAAUAGGACGUGCGGUUCUAUUUUGUUGGUUUUUGGAUCGCCGUAAUGAUUAAUAGGACAGUCGGGGGCAUUAGUACUCACAUGCU